rnacentral:lncRNA from 1 species
ACAUUUUUAACAGGACGCCUGCUUCCUCUCUUUUGCCCUCCGCGGCCAUUACUCCUCCGGGACCGUCCUCCCACUCUCUAUCGCCCUAUAUAAAGGCAGGCAAAAGCUCUUCUUCUCCACCGUGCUUUCCACACUCACCUCUCCUAUGUCCACCAAAAUGCCUAGCCCCAACCACCAUUCCUGCUGCUUCCUCCCGGUCUGCUGCCCAAGCUUCUCGUUUGCCAUUGCCAACGAUUCGUCGUCGUCCCCGCCGGCUGCCGCAGCCUCCACGGGGUGCCUCUGGAUGACCUGGUGGAACAGGAAGCGGCUGAAGCCUCGUCCCAGCUGCCAGCGCUGCGGUGCGGCUGUUCUGUGACGGCGCUAUCCUCGCCGAGCUUCUUCUUCUACCACUGCCUGUCUUUCCCGUGCUACGCUUCUACACGGUCGCACGCUCAUCUAUCAUUGCUUCACCAUCUAGUGAAAUUGUCUACAAAGAUCUUCUUGACCUUGCAAGACUUUUCACUAGAGGAUGAAUUCCUACUUCAUGUGUCUCUCGUUCUUACGCCUGCCUCUCGCCAUCUCGCGUCUAUCAAUACUCUUGUAUUUCUCGUCCCCGUCUAUCCCUCUUGAGCUUGUAACACAUGCAGCUAAUAACUAGCUACAACGACUAGCUACUUUCGUUUAACACUGCCGUGUUCGGUGUACCGGAAUUUUAAGUUCCUGAAGUAUUUACUCGUCAUGUGCUGCUGUGCAUUGUUUGCCCUUAAGCUGCACUUCCGCAUGAACUCUGCUAUUCGGUGAAAAUUUAUGGAAGUUUGUGAUGUAUUUGCUAGCCGUGCAUUGCCUUUCAGCAGGCAGCACACUUUAUUAAUUAGUAUAAGCUUUGCUACUCGGUGUAAUUAUAUAUGAUAUGGAAGUGAAAUUAGUUGUUUUUUUUUCUGAAUGUACUGUAUUUCAGGCAUUGCAUUCAGUGUCAUGCACUGCUUGAUUUCUUUAUGCCUGUUUUCUGGCUAGUGAUGCUCAAA